CCCCUCAGACCCAGGUAACUAUCUCCUCAGACCAAGGUAACUAUCUCCUCAGACCCAGGUAACUAUCUCCUCAGACCCAGGUAACCUCCUCCUCAGACCCAGGUAACUACCCCCUCAGACCCAGGUAACUACCUCCUCAGACCCAGGUAACUACCCCCUCAGACCCAGGUAACUACCCCCUCAGACCCAGGUAACUACCCCCUCAGACCCAGGUAACUACCCCCUCAGACCCAGGUAACUACCCCCUCAGACCCCAGUAACUACCCCCUCAGACCCCAGUAACUACCCCCUCAGACCCAG